rnacentral:ribozyme from 1 species
UGCCCAGCAACUCCUAUCCCUACCUCCUCGCGGUACUGGGGAUACGAGUAACCUUAGGGAAGAUCGGGUAACCAACCCCCGGUGGGAACUUUGGUCGUAUGCUGACAGGGAAGG